rnacentral:tRNA from 1 species
GGGCCGGUAGAUCAGUGGUAGAUCGCUUCCUUGGCAUGGAAGAGGUCACGGGUUCUCCGGAACUGACUUCCA